AAAACUUUUUUUUUUUAAACGAACGGAAAAAAAAAUCUGUUCUUAUCAGUUUAAUAUCUGAUACGUCCCCUAUCUGGGGACCAUAUAUUAAAUUCAUUUUUGGAAUAGGGAGAUGGAAUAGGGGCUUGCUCCGUCCACUCCACGCAUCGACCUGGUAUUGCAGUACCUCCAGGAACGGUGCACCCCCU
rnacentral:snRNA from 13 species